rnacentral:lncRNA from 1 species
AACAAUAGCCUAUUUCUCUUCUCUCUCCCCUCCCACCAAAAAAUAAUAAUUAGAGAAGAUAAAUAAUACCCUAUUUCUCUUCUCUCGCCCAAAACACACGCACACUCUCUCUCUUUCUCUCUCUCUCUCUAAAACCAGAGGAAAAAUGGGCACCUACAUCCCUCCUCUUUAGGGGUCAAAACUUUAAACCCCCCUUAUUUAUAGAACCCACCCUACAUUUAUUCCUUUCCCCUGCUCUACACUUGACCAAAUUGCUCACUUACACCAGGAAACCCUUGCGUUCCCAAAGGAACCCAUGCCCUUUAA